CUUCCCUCAGUAAGGAGAGACCGUCACAUCUAAAGGACAGCUGCUGGUGGCACCAGUACAGCUCAAGGCCUGCCCCAGGUGGACUCGCAGAACUCAAUAUCGCAUUGUGCCUAGACAAAUGAAGGGGCAAAAUGAGGAUCUUCAGCUUCCUCCAGCACCAAAAUACUUUGUGUUCUUGGAGAGCUCCACCAGCAGUCAGCAGCUCUGUGAAGCUGAGGGAAAUCCUCCCAGGGCUGAAUUCUUUACAAGCAAAACCUUAGGAGUCGGACCUGGCCUACUCUGUACUCCCCAGGAUGGCCCUGCACUGCACCAACAGGCACCUUCUCCAACAGGAGAGUUCAGCCUGCCUUGCCUGAGGGACACUGCAGGCCACAGACCUGCACUGACCAGUCUCUCCUCUCUCUCCAUUAUUAAGUUAGGCUGCAAACCAGGGAAAAGGGAGAUUGCAUGAGUUUUGCACAGUGAUACUUCAGUACUAGUCACACUUCAAACGCGUCACCUUCAAGGGAUGACUCCAACAAGUAAACUGAGCCUACAAAAACCUUGGUCAUGUCAAGAGAUUUCAGAUGCUGAGUGAUGAAGAGUAAGACCAUGUCGCACUUUUUGUGGGGCUGCCAACUGCAAGGGGACAGUCAGCAAGGUUACACUCAGCACAUCCAACACCCCAUUUUCCUGACAGACUACUCUGUGACA